UACGGGGGGUGCAAGCGUUGUUCGGAAUUACUGGGCGUAAAGGGCGCGUAGGCGGGUGGACAAGUCUCUCGUGAAAGCCCACGGCUCAACCGUGGAAUUGCGGGAGAUACUGUCUGUCUUGAGUCCGGGAGAGGAGGGUGGAAUUCCCAGUGUAGCGGUGGAAUGCGUAGAUAUUGGGAGGAACACCGGUGGCGAAGGCGGCUCUCUGGACCUGUACUGCCGCUGAGGCGCGAAAGCUAGGGGAGCAAACGGG
rnacentral:rRNA from 1 species